UUUACCCGCUCAGCGCCCAGCGGCUGCCGGCGAAGGGGCGGGGCCUGCGCCGUGACGUUGUGCCGGAGUAAAGGACCACUCUCUCCCCUCGGCUCGUCCCCCAGCCAUUGGCGCGCGGCGGGCCGCCUCCCAGCUGCUGUGCCCGCCUCCUGGAAGCCGAGGCAGGCGACGCGCCACCUGGGCUCGGAGCUAGGACGGGCUGUUUUUGCUUCCACCCCCGCCAGACGAGGAGUGGGACCUCAUGUCGUCCGGAACCCGGGCAGUGGAAGGUGAUGAGGACUCCAAAGGUUGGGCUGAGAGAUGUCCCCGACCCGCCCCACCAGCUGAGACACAAGAGAAAACAAGAUCAAGCGCUCAAUUCUUUUAUGUCCAGGAAUGAGAUCAGAAAUGGGGCCUAAAAUGGUGGUUCAAAGCCUUCGAGAUCCCUUGGACCAGCUGCAUUUCUCCUCAAAUUAUAGAACCAACACUAAACAGACAUCUUUUUAAUUUUGCUUAGUUGUCAAUUUAUUUUAAAAAGUCGUCACUUGAUGACAUUUUAACACCCCAAAGUAGGAAGACUGUAACUGCUCAUGUCAGAAUAAAGGAUACUAACA